rnacentral:rRNA from 1 species
GGUUGAUCCUGCCAGUAGUCAUAUGCUUGUCUCAAAGAUUAAGCCAUGCAAGUCUAAGUACGACUCUCGUAUAGUGAAUCUGCGAAUGGCUCAUUACAUCGGUCAUAAUUUCCUGGACGAGUUAACCAUACUUGGAUAACUGUGCCAAUUGUAGAGCUAAUACAUGCCACAGACUGUCUCUUCGGAGACGGUGCUUUUAUUAGAUCAAACGCCGAUGGCAUUCGUGUCUCGAGCGGCGAAUCGUGAUAACUCUAGCAUAUCGCACGGUUUCACACCGGCGAAGCGUCCUUCAAGUGACUGCCUUAUCAGCUGUCGAUGGUAGUGUAUUGGACUACCAGGCAUUAACGGGUNACGGGGAAUUAGGGUUCGAUUCCGGAGAGGGAGCCUGAGAAACGGCUACCACAUCUAAGGAAGGCAGCAGGCACGCAAAUUACCCAUUCCCGACUCGGGGAGGUAGUGACGAAAAAUAACGAUACGUGGUACUCAUUCGAGAACCCGUAAUUGGAAUGAGUACAAUUUAAAUCCUUUAACGAGGAUCUAUUGGAGGGCAAGUCUGGUGCCAGCAGCCGCGGUAAUUCCAGCUCCAAUAGCGUAUAUUAAAGUUGUUGCAGUUAAAAAGCUCGUAGUUGGAUCUUGGAUACGGGUAUCGCGGUCUGAGCAGUGUCUCUGUACUGCGAUUGCCCUGUCUGUAUUUUCGGAGGCCCGNGGCGGUGUCCUUNUGGGUGCUGUCGGGUGCCGAAGCGUUUACUUUGAAAAAAUUAGAGUGUUCAAAGCAGACACGU